GGUUGAUCCUGCCAGUAACAUAUGCUUGUCUCAAAGAUUAAGCCAUGCAUGUCUAAGUGUGAACUCAUUUCGCAUAGCUGAACUGCGUACAGCUCAUUAAAUCAGUUAUAAUUUGUUUGAGGUUUGAUAUUUUUUGGUUGUAAGAUCAAGAAACUAUACGGAUACCCGUAGUAAUUCUAGAGCUAAUACGUGCGUUGAGGUGUGGGUGGGCGUGGGGUUAAACCUAUGCUUUGCCCACACUGUACUGAUUAGAUAUCGUGUAUGUUGUUUGCACUUUUAAAUUGCAGAUGA
rnacentral:rRNA from 1 species